CGCUCUGGGCGGCGGCGGAAGUGGCGCGCCGGAAGCGGCGCCGUAUCCAGGUAACGGCGGCGCGGCGCGGCCCGGUGCCGGCGCGAUGAGCGGGCGGGCGGCGCGGCGGCGGCUGGUGCUGCACGUGGACCUCAACAACACGGUGGUGGCGGCGGACGCGGUGUCGGGGCAGGGCCCGCGGGCCGCGCUCAACAGCUUCCUCAGCACCGUCACCUGGGGCGCCGCCGGGCCUGCCGGCGAGUGGCAGUGGGCGAGCGACCGCCCUUCGCUGGGGCCCCCCUGCCCGGGCGCCGUCAGCUACUACUGCCGGUACGGCCGCGACCCGGCCUUCACCGAGCUGGGCCCGGGCCAGCGCUUCAGCAGCCUCCACGCGCACUACCUGCAGCUCCUGGAGUGGCCGGGCAAGGCUCACAAGGUGCUCUCUGUUCAGGGUGAGGAGAACAAGCACUACCACUUCGUCCUGCCCUCCUUCUUCCGCCUCCUGGACGCUCUGCACCGCGAUGGGAGGUCGUUUGCCGUCGUCUUCAGAACCUUUGGCACAGACCUGCCCCACGUUCUCCGCGCUGUGCACUGUGCCCUGGCUGGGCAGCACCCCCAGUUCCCUGGCCUGCAGGACGUGGCGCUCUCUGUGGACCUCACUCCUGGCCAAAUACGUUGCAGUAAGCGAGAGGUUGUGCUGAAGAGGGGAUCAGAGCGACUUUCCACCCGUGAAGAUGGAAGAAAGCUUUACGAUUACUUCAGCAAUUUUGAGGGAAUUGGAGGCUUCCAAGACCACUUUGACUGGUGGGCCAGAAACCAGUUCUCUUCACAGGGUGGGAAGCCCCUGUGGAUUGACCCCCAUGAUCCCAGUGUUCACCACAUCUUUAUUGAUGACAACAUCCGCCUGGAUGACACGGACACCAUUGUGCACCCCCAGGUACGUGGUGGAGCACCCCUGGGGUCCUAGCUGCCCAGGCUGAAGGGCGUUCCUGGUUAGUUCAGGCACGUUUUGUUCCCUUUCACCCUCUCGUGCUGAUGCAAAGGGGGAUCAAGGCUCAGCCCUGGUGUCGCUACAGCCCAAGAGAUUAGAAUCAGCGAGAAAGAUGCUCAGGGCUUCAGUGGGGAGGAUGAAAUCGGCUGUCAGCACAAAACAGCAGGUGUCCCCUGCCUGUGCUUGCUGCCAGCUCCGCUGCUCGGCUGGAGUGAGUCAUCCCCGCUCCCUCCUGGAGCCCAGCAGCAGCCAGCCUCUGCGUGCGGCUGAACCUCGCUUAUGGCACAACGUUUAAAGGGCAGCGUUUGUGCCGGAGCACGCUUGCAGAAGGGAACGUUAAUGCAGGCAGAAAUGCGCUUGGCAGCUGGACAGCUAUUGAUGCCUGAACACGAGCUGCAGCUCCACCAGCGAGUCUGAACCUCCGGCGUAUUUCCAUCUAGGAGGAGAGAGCAUGGGAGGAAGGAAGUGUGCGGUGGCCUGUGAAUGAUCCGCAGCAACUGCUGGGCACCUGGGGAGUGGCGAGGGGAGGGACGCUCUGGGUACUCGCUUGCGUACAAGCUCUGUCAGUUACUGGAUGUGUAGUUGGUGAUGCAAGUUGUCGCUGCCCGGAGCAGGCCUGUUAGAAGGGAGAUUUCGGUGUGAUCUGGGCUGUUUCAAGUGAAUUAAGGCAGAAGGCUCUGCUAAGAGCCUGAGGCCUCUGCUUGCAGCAGCUGCUGCCUUGCCUGUCUGCAGCAGCCAAAGAGCGUGGCUUGCUCAACUCCGCCUGCCGGAUUUCAGCCUUGGGCUGCUUCCCUGAUGGAGGAGUUCCUCCCUUAGCUGUCCAUGGGUCAGCUGGGUGGCUCGGUUUGUCUCAGGGCGUCUGUGAAGAUAACCUCAGGCCCCUUGGGGCUCUCCUGACUCCACACCAGACAGGUGUUUUCAGAGCGGGGCAGCAGCAGCCCUCGCUGUGCUCCCACUUCGGAGCUGUACGAUAUUUGCCUGGUGCAGACCCAUCUCCUGGAGGCCAUCGCUGAUGAGAACUAUUUCCUCCGCUGCGUGCAGA